GACGAACCGUCCUAACGUUGUUCGGAAUCACUGGGCUUAAAGGGCGCGUAGGCGGGCUCCCAAGUCGGUGGUGAAAUCUUUCGGCCCAACCGGAAAACAGCCGCCGAUACUGGGAGUCUUGAGGGAGGUAGGGGUCGAUGGAACUUCCGGUGGAGCGGUGAAAUGCGUAGAUAUCAGGAGGAACACCGGUGGCGAAGGCGGCUUGCUGGGCCUUGCCUGACGCUGAGGAGCGAAAGCGUGGGGAGCGAACAGG
rnacentral:rRNA from 1 species